GACGAACGCUGGCGGCGUGCCUAAUACAUGCAAGUAGAACGCUGAAGGAGGAGCUUGCUCUUCUGGAUGAGUUGCGAACGGGUGAGUAACGCGUAGGUAACCUGCCUGGUAGCGGGGGAUAACUAUUGGAAACGAUAGCUAAUACCGCAUAAGAGUAGAUGUUGCAUGACAUUUACUUAAAAGGUGCAUUUGCAUCACUACCAGAUGGACCUGCGUUGUAUUAGCUAGUUGGUGGGGUAACGGCUUACCAAGGCGACGAUACAUAGCCGACCUGAGAGGGUGAUCGGCCACACUGGGACUGAGACACGGCCCAGACUCCUACGGGAGGCAGCAGUAGGGAAUCUUCGGCAAUGGACGGAAGUCUGACCGAGCAACGCCGCGGGAGUGAAGAAGGUUUUCGGAUCGUAAAGCUCUGUUGUAAGAGAAGAACGAGUGUGAGAGUGGAAAGUUCACACUGUGACGGUAUCUUACCAGAAAGGGACGGCUAACUACGUG
rnacentral:rRNA from 1 species